rnacentral:rRNA from 1 species
GAUGAACGCUGGCGGCGUGCCUAACACAUGCAAGUCGAACGGACUUAUUUUGGAAACUCUUUCGGGAGCGGAAUUCAUAAGUUAGUGGCGGACGGGUGAGUAACGCGUGAGCAAUCUGCCCUUAGGUGGGGGAUAACAGCCGGAAACGGCUGCUAAUACCGCAUAACGCAGUGAAAUCGCAUGGUUUUACUGCCAAAGAUUUAUUGCCUUUGGAUGAGCUCGCGUCUGAUUAGCUAGUUGGCGGGGUAACAGCCCACCAAGGCGACGAUCAGUAGCCGGACUGAGAGGUUGAACGGCCACAUUGGGACUGAGACACGGCCCAG